GUGUUUGAGUGCACACUGUGACGUCUAUAUGAUACGCCGUAGAACCCCUUUAGGUCGUCAACAAUUAUGCAGAACAUCUUGGUGACGGUACUGCUUUUUUGCAUCUCAGGGCCAGCCUGGAAGCUCCUCCUUGUGGCCGGUCUCUGGAGGUGAGAGUGCCAGUGGGCCUGGCUAUGUG